rnacentral:rRNA from 1 species
GAGUAAUGUCUGGGAAACUGCCUGAUGGAGGGGGGAUAACUACUGGAAACGGUAGCUAAUACCGCAUAACGUCGCAAGACCAAAGAGGGGGACCUUCGGGCCUCUUGCCAUCGGAUGUGCCCAGAUGGGAUUAGCUAGUAGGUGGGGUAACGGCUCACCUAGGCGACGAUCCCUAGCUGGUCUGAGAGGAUGACCAGCCACACUGGAACUGAGACACGGUCCAGACUCCUACGGGAGGCAGCAUG